rnacentral:rRNA from 1 species
UACGGAGGGUGCAAACGUUGCUCGGAAUCAUUGGGCGUAAAGCGCGCGUAGGCGGACUGUUAAGUCGGAUGUGAAAUCCCUCAGCUUAACUGAGGAAGUGCAUUCGAAACUGGCAGUCUUGAGUAUGGAAGAGGGUCGCGGAAUUCCCGGUGUAGAGGUGAAAUUCGUAGAUAUCGGGAGGAACACCAGUGGCGAAGGCGGCGAUCUGGGAAGAUACUGACGCUGAGGUGCGAAAGCGUGGGGAGCAAACAGG